UUAGGGAAGAACAAAGUAGGGUUCAUCGACGGAAGUUGUUUACAAAGCUUGUACAAAAGAGAUUUAGCGAUAUAGUGGGAUCAUUAUAAUGCUCUGGUAUUAUUGUGGAUAAGCUGCACAGUUACACCUGAGCUGGUUUCAACCAUUGUGUUGGCUUCUACUGCAAAGAAGAAAUAGGAUAAAAUCAAGGAGAGGUUCGACAAAUCGAUUUCUCAAGAGUUUAUCAAUUGUGGAGAGAAAUUGCAACUCAUACUCAAGGUACAGAUUCUGUUACAACCUAUUUCUCAAAGAUGAAAGAUUAUUAGGAUGGAUAGGAUCUGUUAGUACCUAUACCAUCUGCUUGUGAUUGUGUAUAAUCAGGUCCUUACAUUGCACAUUUGAACAAUCAAUGUUGGCCGUAAUUUCUUAUGGGUUCAAAUGAAAGUUAUAGCCAUGUGCGAAGUGACAUUCUGCUAAAAACCCCAAUUUUGCCCUUAAAUCAAGCCUAAGUUGUUGUUGUACAAGAAUAGAGUCGGUGAAUUUUAGGAGUGGCAGACAUCAAUAAAGAAUCCUUGAGUUUAUUUGCAGGACAAAGACAAGUUCAUAACUACAAGAAAAAGAAGCCUGGGAACAAUGAACACAAUAUACCUAGAGAUGCUUGUUGAAGUUAUGGUUAUAAGGGGCAUUUCACAGAAGAUUGCUACAGAAAUAUUGGUUAUCCAACGGACUUUAAGAGUAGGAGAAGAUGCAGGGGACUGAAGGGAGUAAAUCUGUCCAUCAUGCUACUGCUGAUGAACUAGACCCUAGUCCAAUAGUCAGUAUGAACAGUACAUGAAGCUUUAGGGAGAAGAGAAAUAGUUUUGACUAGACUAAAUGAAACCACAAGCAGCUACUAGUCCAAUAUGGCAGGUAUCAUUGCUUUGUUGUCUAAAAUAGAGGGAUAUGACUGGAUAGUGGAUUAUGGAGCAUCACAUCAUGUAACCUUUCUUAGAAAGGUACUAAAUGACCUUAAGUUCACCGAGAAUCACAGAAAUAAUGGAGUACAAUUAGUCAAUUACCAAUUGGUAGUAAGUGCGAAAUUACUCAUAGUAAACACAGUAAUAUUGAAGAACCAUACUCUUAAAAAAAAUAUGUUGUUUGUUCCAGAUUUCA
rnacentral:lncRNA from 1 species